rnacentral:lncRNA from 8 species
AUUACUGAGGCUUUAUUUACCGUCAGUGAACGCGUUUGUUCGGUUGUUCGGCGGAAAACUGAUCAACAACACAGAAACGAGAGGCGCUUUUGUUUGUGUAGAGAAACCGUGAACGCGCAGAACGGGCCGAGAAAACAGCAGCAGCAUCUUCAUCAUCCUCAUCUUCAGUGUGUGUUUGUGCUGGAAAUCUGAUGUGAGCAGAGCUUCAUCUGGAUCUGCAGGAGCAGGUUGUCUGUGUUCUUCAGUGUGAGGAAGAGAGAGAGCGAGAGACACAGACACACACAGUCUAUCUUUCUCUCUCUCUCUCUUUCUUCUCUCCAUCAUG